GCGCAGUGGGGAUAUUGCACAAUGGGCGCAAGCCUGAUGCAGCCAUGCCGCGUGUGUGAAGAAGGCUUUCGGGUUGUAAAGCACUUUCAGCGAGGAGGAAAGGUUGUACUUUAAUAGAGUGCAGCUGUGACGUUACUCGCAGAAGAAGCACCGGCUAACUCCGUGCCAGCAGCCGCGGUAAUACGGAGGGUGCGAGCGUUAAUCGGAAUUACUGGGCGUAAAGCGCGCGUAGGCGGUUAAUUAAGUCAGAUGUGAAAUCCCAGGGCUCAACCUUGGAACUGCAUUUGAAACUGGUUAACUAGAGUUUUGUAGAGGGUGGUAGAAUUUCAGGUGUAGCGGUGAAAUGCGUAGAGAUCUGAAGGAAUACCAGUGGCGAAGGCGGCCACCUGGACAAAGACUGACGCUGAGGCGCGAAGGCGUGGGGAGCAAACGGGAUUAGAUACCCCGGUAGUCCACGCAGUAAACGAUGUCUAUUAGAAUUUUGUGGCUAUAUGCCGUGGGAUUCAAAGCUAACGCAUUAAAUAGACCGCCUGGGGAGUACGGCCGCAAGGUUAAAACUCAAAUGAAUUGACGGGGCCCC
rnacentral:rRNA from 1 species